rnacentral:rRNA from 1 species
UCUAUACAUGCAGUCGAGCGGACAGAUGGGAGCUUGCUCCCUGAUGUUAGCGGCGGACGGGUGAGUAACACGUGGGUAACCUGCCUGUAAGACUGGGAUAACUCCGGGAAACCGGGGCUAAUACCGGAUGGUUGUUUGAACCGCAUGGUUCAAACAUAAAAGGUGGCUUCGGCUACCACUUACAGAUGGACCCGCGGCGCAUUAGCUAGUUGGUGAGGUAACGGCUCACCAAGGCAACGAUGCGUAGCCGACCUGAGAGGGUGAUCGGCCACACUGGGACUGAGACACGGCCCAGACUCCUACGGGAGGCAGCAGUAGGGAAUCUUCCGCAAUGGACGAAAGUCUGACGGAGCAACGCCGCGUGAGUGAUGAAGGUUUUCGGAUCGUAAAGCUCUGUUGUUAGGGAAGAACAAGUACCGUUCGAAUAGGGCGGUACCUUGACGGUACCUAACCAAGAAAGCCACGGCUAACUACGUGCCAGCAGCCGCGGUAAUACGUAGGUGGCAAGCGUUGUCCGGAAUUAUUGGGCGUAAAGGGCUCGCAGGCGGUUUCUUAAGUCUGAUGUGAAAGCCCCCGGCUCAACCGGGGAGGGUCAUUGGAAACUGGGGAACUUGAGUGCAGAAGAGGAGAGUGGAAUUUCCACGUGUAAGCGGUGAAAUGCGUAGAGAUGUGGAGGAACACCAGUGGCGAAGGCGACUCUCUGGUCUGUAACUGACGCUGAGGAGCGAAAGCGUGGGGAGCGAACAGGAUUAGAUACCCUGGGUAGUCCACGCCGUAAACGAUGAGUGCUAAGUGUUUAGGGGGUUUCCGCCCCUUUAGUGCUGCAGCUAACGCAUUAGGCACUCCGCCUGGGGAGUACGGUCGCAAGAGUGAAUCUCAAAGGAAUUGUCGGGGGCCCGCAGAAACGGUGGAGCAUGUAGUUUAAUUCAAAGCAACUGCGAAGAACCUUACCAGGUCUUGACAUCCUCUGACAAUCCUAGAGAUAGGACGUCCCCUUCGGGGGCAGAGUGACAGGUGGUGCAUGGUUGUCGUCAGCUCGUGUCGUGAGAUGUUGGGUUAAGUCCCGCAACGAGCGCAACCCUUGAUCUUAGUUGCCAGCAUUCAGUUGGGCACUUUAAGGUGACUGCCGGUGACAAACCGGAGGAAGGUGGGGAUGACGUCAAAUCAUCAUGCCCCUUAUGACCUGGGCUACACACGUGCUACAAUGGACAGAACAAAGGGCAGCGAAACCGCGAGGUUAAGCCAAUCCCACAAAUCUGUUCUCAGUUCGGAUCGCAGUUUGCAACUCGACUGCGUGAAGCUGGAAUCGCUAGUAAUCGCGGAUCAGCAUGCCGCGGUGAAUACGUUCCCGGGCCUUGUACACACCGCCCGUCACACCACGAGAGUUUGUAACACCCGAAGUCGGUGAGGUAACCUUUUAGGAGCCAGCCGCCGAACGGU